rnacentral:misc_RNA from 1 species
AAGACUAUAGACCUGCGGAGUACCUGCGGAAGGAUCAUUAACGAGUGUAACUUACCCUUUUUUUUAAAAGAGGGUAGUACCUCCUGUCCUUUGUAGGCCCCUUUUUAUUGGGGGGCUUUUUAAGACUUUCUGCUUCGGCGGGGUUAUUCCCGCCGGAACACCCUCAAAAAACUCUUCAAAAACUAAUUCAGUCCGAGAAUUUUUGAAAAUAAAAAAAACUUUCAACAAUGGAUCUCUAGA